rnacentral:snRNA from 1 species
GUGCUCACUUUGGAAGCAGAUAUACUAAAAUUGGAAUGAGGAUUAGCAUGGCCCCAGUGCAAGAAUGAUAUGCACUUUCUUGAAGUGCUCCAUAUUUUU